rnacentral:rRNA from 1 species
UACGUAGGGUGCAAGCGUUGUCCGGAAUUAUUGGGCGUAAAGAGCUCGUAGGCGGUCUGUCGCGUCGGAUGUGAAAACCCAGGGCUCAACCCUGGGCCUGCAUUCGAUACGGGCAGACCAGAGUUCGGUAGGGGAGACUGGAAUUCCUGGUGUAGCGGUGAAAUGCGCAGAUAUCCGGAGGAACACCGGUGGCGAAGGCGGGUCUCUGGGCCGAAACUGACGCUGAGGAGCGAAAGCGUGGGGAGCAAACAGG